UACGUAGGGUCCGAGCGUUGUCCGGAAUUACUGGGCGUAAAGAGCUCGUAGGUGGUUUGUCGCGUUGUCCGUGAAAACUCACAGCUCAACUGUGGGCGUGCGGGCGAUACGGGCAGACUGGAGUACUGCAGGGGAGACUGGAAUUCAUGGUGUAGCAGUGAAAUGCGUAGAGAUCAUGAGGAAGACCAGUGGCGAAGGCGGGUCUCUGGACAGUUCCUGACACUGAGACACGAAGGCCAGGGGAGCAAACGGG
rnacentral:rRNA from 1 species